rnacentral:rRNA from 1 species
AAUCAACGCUGGCGGCGUGCCUCAGACAUGCAAGUCGAACGCGAAAGUCCCCUUCGGGGGACAAGUAGAGUGGCGCACGGGUGAGUAACACGUAGGUAAUCUACCUUCGGAUGGGGAAUAACAAUCGGAAACGGUUGCUAAUACCGCAUAAUGCAGCGGCACCUAAUGGUGACAGUUGUUAAAGCGGGGGAUCGAAAGACCUCGCGUCUGAAGAGGAGCCUGCGGCGGAUUAGCUAGUUGGUAAGGUAAUGGCUUACCAAGGCGACGAUCCGUAACCGGCUUGAGAGGGCGGUCGGUCACACUGACACUGACAUACGGGUCAGACUCCUACGGGAGGCAGCAGUCGGGAAUUUUGGGCAAUGGGCGAAAGCCUGACCCAGCAACGCCGCGUGAAGGAU